rnacentral:lncRNA from 1 species
CAAAAUAAUGCAUGUAAAGCACUUAGCAUGGAGCCUGGGACAUGAUAAGGAAUUCAAAAAAUGGUGAUGGUUGUUCUUCCUCUCCUUCUUCUUUUAUUAUUCCUAGUAUUAUGUGGUUAUUCAGACUUGAUUUCAGCAUUGCCAGUGAUGGAAAAUGAUUGCCUUCUAAAAUAGCCUACUCUUAAUUUUGUAGAAUCAUGAUCAUUAGAGAGUUUUCCUUCCAGUCAACCCCAAAUCACAGCACUUUAUCUCUAGACAUCCUUUUGUUCAAGUUCUGACUUCUCAGCUCAUGACUGCCCUUUGUACAUUUGAAUAUGGCUGUCAUGCUCCCUAUGUUACCCUAUUCUCUUUUAACUUCUUUGGUUUUUCUCUUCUUUGAUCCUUUCUUCCCAAUUUCUUAUUUUUUUUUAAUUUUUAUUUAUUUAUGAUAGGCACACAGUGAGAGAGAGAGGCAGAGACAUAGGCAGAGGGAGAAGCAGGCUCCAUGCACCGGGAGCCCGACGUGGGAUUCGAUCCCGGGUCUCCAGGAUCGCGCCCUGGGCCAAAGGCAGGCGCUAAACCGCUGCACCACCCAGGGAUCCCUUUCUUCCCAAUUUCUUUCCAUCAACUUUUAUAUACCAACUUUCAAAUUAUUCUUGAAAUCUUGCCAUUAACUUGACAUCAACCCCUUCGAUCAACAUUUAUAUACUAAGGGAUUAUGUGAAGAGCCUUAUAGCCAUGUUCCAUGCCUAUGGAGGGAGCCAUUUGGAUAUCAAGGGGGGUCAGAAUUUUCAGCAGGACUUACCAAGAAAUACAGCAGGGGAGCACCUUACCUGAUCAGUGGAGGAGCACCUUACCUGAUCUUGGCGAACAGAGCAAAUGUAGUCACUUCUUUCAUUCCCCCAGACCUCUGACCACCUUGCCAGGCAGAGGUGAGGGUGCAGCUGGUAAACCAAGAGCUUACGCGGACCCACAUCUCUAUUCACACAUCAGGCAGAUGGACGAGAGCUGUUAUGACUGCAGUGUAGACAAAUCAUUGCCCAGAUGCCCUUGAUCCUACAGGUCUCUUCUCCGCCACCACCUCUGUGAACUGGAGCCUGCUUUGCCAGUGGCACUACCUUGGGGAGAGGAGGGAGGAAGACACUAUUAGCAAAUGUUGCUGCUUCUUUUCUUUUGUGUGUUUCUCAUAGUCCUAUUGUACACCUGACAUCUGACACAAUGAAUGCAUUACCAAAUCAUUAGUCCCCAUCCAAUGCGAGGCACCAAAUCUGCAGUCAGUCAGUGCUACAUGUGACACAUGAAACCAAACACUUCAUCUACUUCUACCUGGGCCAAGUGGCCAUUCUGUUCAAAUCUGGUUAAAAGCAUGGACUGUGUCACACACCCAGUGAUCCAUCCAAAACCAAGGACUGCAGCCUAAAUUCCAGAUACCAGAGACUGAAAUCUUCAGCCUUGCCUAGGGGAACAUCUCGAUCUUUGAACCUUUAUUGUGUUGUUUUGUACAGGGCAUUCUCUGUACGAAUUUGUUGUGGUUAUAAAACAAUUAGAAAAACAGCUUACAUUUGUAUUUAUUUUCUAUUCCAUACCUCUGCCCCAUGUUUUUUCUCCUCAAAAUCCAUUCCUUUCCAAAUAAAUCUGUUGGAGAAAGAAAAAAAAAAAAAGGA